rnacentral:rRNA from 1 species
AUUGAACGCUGGCGGUAUGCUUAACACAUGCAAGUCGAACGGUAGCAGGCCUUCGGGUGCUGACGAGUGGCGGACGGGUGAGUAAUGCAUAGGAAUCUGCCUGUUAGUGGGGGACAACUUAGGGAAACUUAAGCUAAUACCGCAUACGCCCUACGGGGGAAAGCGGGGGACCUUUUAGGCCUCGCGCUAACAGAUGAGCCUAUGUUGGAUUAGCUAGUUGGUAGGGUAAAGGCCUACCAAGGCUGCGAUCCAUAGCUGGUCUGAGAGGAUGAUCAGCCACACUGGGACUGAGACACGGCCCAGACUCCUACGGGAGGCAGCAGUGGGGAAUAUUGGACAAUGGGCGGAAGCCUGAUCCAGCAAUACCGCGUGUGUGAAGAAGGCCAGAGGGUUGUAAAGCACUUUCAAUAGGGAGGAAAAAGGUAGGUUUAAUACGUCUGCCCUUGACAUUACCUAUAGAAGAAGCACCGGCUAACUCCGUGCCAGCAGCAGCCGCGGUAA